rnacentral:rRNA from 1 species
UACAGAGGUCUCAAGCGUUGUUCGGAAUCACUGGGCGUAAAGGGUGCGUAGGCGGCGGGGAAAGUCAGAUGUGAAAUCCGGAGGCUCAACCUCCGAAUUGCAUCCGAUACUCCCUCGCUAGAGAUUUGUAGAGGAGCUUGGAAUUCUCGGUGUAGCAGUGAAAUGCGUAGAUAUCGAGAAGAACGCUCGCAGCGAAGGCGAAGCUCUGGGCAAAUUCUGACGCUGAUGCACGAAGGCUAGGGGAGCAAACAGG